rnacentral:tRNA from 1 species
UCCCUGGUAGCUCAGAUGGUAGAGAAUCUGCCUGUAAUGUGGAAGACCUGGGUUCGAUUCCUGGGUUGGGAA